UACGUAGGUGGCGAGCGUUGUCCGGAAUCACUGGGCGUAAAGGGCGCGUAGGCGGUUAUUCAAGUCACAUGGGAAAUACCAGGGCUCAACCUUGGGGGGUCAUGUGAAACUGGAUGACUUGAGUGCAGUAGAGGAAAGCGGAAUUCCUGGUGUAGCGGUAAAAUGCGUAGAGAUCAGGAGGAACACCGGUGGCGAAGGCGGCUUUCUGGGCUGUAACUGACGCUGAGGCGCGAAAGCGUGGGGAGCAAACAGG
rnacentral:rRNA from 1 species